UACGGAGGAUGCAAGCGUUAUCCGGAAUGAUUGGGCGUAAAGCGUCCGCAGGUGGCAAUGUAAGUCUGCUGUUAAAGAGUCUAGCUCAACUAGAUAAAAGCAGUGGAAACUACAUAGCUAGAGUACGUUCGGGGCAGAGGGAAUUCCUGAUGUAGCGGUGAAAUGCGUAGAGAUCAGGAAGAACACCGGUGGCGAAGGCGCUCUGCUAGGCCGUAACUGACACUGAGGGACGAAAGCUAGGGGAGCGAAUGGG
rnacentral:rRNA from 1 species